GCGGCGCACGCGGCGGGAGAAGCACUGGCACCUUCCGGCCCAUGUUCCCCAGCAACUGGCGCUCUCAGGCUUACUGCCUCGGAUGCUUGGAGUGAUCCAGGAUGUCUUCGAAGACAGGAAGGAAGCUGUGAACUCACUCCCCCCCCCCUUUACAGACAUGUUUCGUGUUACUGAGUGAUCUGAAAGGUUUGUAGAGGAAGCAGACGGAAACAGAAGAUGACAAGUUUUCUUAGAAAUUAACCUUUAUUAAUCAAGAAAGUAAAAUGAAGGCUUGCUACACACUCCUAUGGAAGCAGACGGGAACAGAAGAUGACAAGUUUUCUUAGAAAUUAACCUUUAUUAAUCAAGAAAGUAAAUGAAGGCUUGCUACACACUCCUAUGAAAGCAGGCGAUAGCUGUUUUCUCUCGAGACUGCACUUUCCAACUAUAGUAAGGUAAUACCAAACAGGGAGCGUGGCAUAUUGCAGGGGUCCCAACCUUCUUUGGCCUGUAGGUGCAUUUGGAAUCCAUUGGCACCAGUGACAGAAUUGCCAUCAUGGGCAUGGCUACUCACAGAAUGGCUGCUGUUGCAGUGCGGGGGCAGAGAGACAGGCAUCUGCUAAGUGACAAUAGAUGGCAGCUUCUCAUGGAGUUUCAGUUGAUAAGUUCUAUUCAAUAUGUAGUGUUCAGCCUCCCUACUGAGUCCCUUGUGCACUGCCAUAUUUGGCUGGUGAUCUCAAAUUUGAAUUUUUUGGUUUUUUGCUGACUUUGAAAGAAUUUAUGUUAGUUAGGUGUCGGCUAUUUCCAGGGAUGUCUGGUGUUCCUGCCCUAAUGAGAAUUCCCCUCCUCUAAGGCCUUUCGAACCCCCAAGCAGGACCCACCUUUUCUCACACUUGGUUUUGCUGCCCUCAGAGGGUCUCUUGGGCUCAACCCUUACUCGGUCCUCUCUCUGUGCUUUCACCUUGCAUUCUGUCUUCAUUACCUCCCUUAUGCAGUCACAAGCAGGAGGUGUCGGAUGUUAUAAACGAAGCUUUAUUAUUUACAACAAAUAAGUUGUUGAAUAAACAAGCAACUCUUAAAUGGCUCUAUCAACAUAAUACUCCAACCAUGUUAUCGGUACCACUUGGGAUGGGUUCGAAUAUGAUUUUUUGGCAAGGUAUGGAUGCCUAAAGAUGGAAAAUAUGUGAUAGCAAGUCAUAACUCUUUGCCUUUUGUGUGUUACCAUUCCACUCCCAAGAAACCUUGAUGUAAAUGGAAUUUUUUUUAUAAUGUUUAAUAUUGUGACUUUUAUUAAACAUAACAAUUACAGUA